rnacentral:rRNA from 1 species
CCUACGGGAGGCAGCAGUGGGGAAUCUUGCACAAUGGAGGAAACUCUGAUGCAGCGAUGCCGCGUGAGUGAAGAAGGCCUUUGGGUUGUAAAGCUCUUUUGUAGGGGAAGAUAAUGACUGUACCCUAAGAAUAAGGUCCGGCUAACUUCGUGCCAGCAGCCGCGGUAAUACGAAGGGACCUAGCGUAGUUCGGAAUUACUGGGCGUAAAGCGCGCGUAGGCCGUUGAGUUAGUUAAUUGUGAAAUCCCAAAGCUUAACUUUGGAACUGCAAUUAAAACUGCUCGACUAGAGUUUGAUAGAGGAAAGCGGAAUACAUAGUGUAGAGGUGAAAUUCGUAGAUAUUAUGUAGAACACCAGUUGCGAAGGCGGCUUUCUGGAUCAACACUGACGCUGAGGCGCGAAAGUAUGGGUAGCAAAGAGGAUUAGAUACCCUCGUAGUCCAUACCAUAAACGAUGAUUGCUAGAUGUUGGAAAUUUAUUUUCAGUAUCGCAGCUAACGCAUUAAGCAAUCCGCCUGGGGAGUACGACCGCAAAGGUUUAAAACUCAAAAUGAAUAAGUAGGCGUUGAGAGUUGCGAACGGCGACACGAGGGAGGAGG